rnacentral:misc_RNA from 1 species
GAUGAAGAACGUAGCGAAAUGCGAUAAGUAAUGUGAAUUGCAGAAUUCAGUGAAUCAUCGAAUCUUUGAACGCACAUUGCGCCCGCCAGUAUUCUGGCGGGCAUGCCUGUCUGAGCGUCAUUUCAACCCUCAUGCCCCUAGGGCGUGGUGUUGGGGAUCGGCCAAAGCCCGCGAGGGACGGCCGGCCCCUAAAUCUAGUGGCGGACCCGUCGUGGCCUCCUCUGCGUAGUAGCAAUAUCUCGCAGGCGGAGAGCGGCGUGGCUAUGCCGUAAAACACCCAACUCUUCUAAGGUUGACCUCAGAUCAGGUAGGAAUACCCGCUGAACUUAAGCAUAUCAAUAAGCGGAGGA